rnacentral:lncRNA from 1 species
UCUUUGCCCCUCCAAUCUUCAUCCAAAUCUAACUACAAAUACAAGAUGGAUAAACUACUCUACCUAUACUAUACUAAUGAACCAAGGAAACUCUAGUGAAAACUACAUUUCUGGUGAGUUUCUCUAGCCUUCUCCCAAGUUAUUUUGAAUCCUGCAAGUCCAUGGCUAUAUAUAGAUGAAUGCAAUUAGGAAAUGAGGCUUGAAACAUCCCUUUUACAGCUGCUAAUUGGUUGUCAUACGUUCAUCCAUAGCUGUAAAUUGUUGAAGGAGAAAACAGGUUGUACCAGCAGCUAUUUCUGACCAGAAUUUGGCUACUUCAACUGCUAUUUUCUCUAUGAUGACGGCUGAAUUAGCUCUUGUGCAAAACAUAGAAGUUGUAGUCCAUUGAAAUAGCUGUCCAAUGCCUUAAGAAUCAUCCAAUUUGGAGCUGUAUAGACCGAGAUAUGAUAAAAUUACCACUGACUGGUCAAUUCCGCGUUUUCAGCUCUCAGCAGCAGACUUUUACUUCUGUAUUUUGACAUUUUGACCAGGAAAACAGUCGAAUUGGACUUUGAUGUUUUCAUACAAAAUAUAGAUCUGUCUCUUAGCUUCGAAAAUUGUUCAAGAAUCAUCUCAAUCCAAUGCAUGUAGCUCAAGAUAUAGCCAAAAUACCAAUAGAUGCCAAAGCUGACUUUUGUUUGAUUCUUUUGUUCUUAAAUUGCAUUUCCCAGCUGAGUUGAAUUUCGGUAUUUCAACUUUUGGACAAUGAAAACGGCUGAAUUAGAUUCUGAUGUCUUCAUACCAAAUUUAUAUCUAUCUCUUAGCUUCAAAAUGGUAUAAAGAUCACUUCAAUCCAAUCUGUGUAGCUCCAGAUAUAGUUAAAAUACCAAAAUGUCUCAGAGUUGUCAAAGCUGACUUUUCUUGAUUCAAAUUGCAUUUCUCCUUUUACACUUCAUAUUUUAUUUUCACCAUUUUAAUCCAUCUUCAAUCAUCCAAAUAUCUUCUCAAUACACUUCAUUUGAUGAUUGAAUCAUUAAACCUACAAAAUAUGAAGUUUUUACCAUAAAAAUCAAUAGAAAUGCAAUUUUCACACUUUAACCACAAAAUGCAUAUUUUCACUAGAAUUUUAGUUAAUUAUUUAUAAAAUUAAAUAAAACACACCAAAACUAAUUAAUAAAGUACACUAAAAAUACGUAAAAUAUACUCUUAUCAAAUACCCCCACACUUGAACCAUUGCUUGUUCUCAAGCAAUAAGAAAUACAAACCAACAAUGAUUCAAUUUUUGAAAAUAAACAUAUGUGCAUCAUUCCUCUUCAUUUUCUCAAAAAUAAGGUUAACAACCAUUAUGCAAUCAUUCAAUUAAGCUCAAGUACUCAUAAUAUCAAGUAAAGGAGAGCCAAUUAUACCGUCAUUAUAACAAAUUCAAAUCAAUUUUUCGUCCUUACCCAAUCUUACAAGUAAGUAACUCAUAUGGUCAAUAAAAUACUUCCUAAACUCAUGAUGAUUUUCUUAUUCCAAUUUAAAGAGGGAUUUAUUCAUAUAGUGUAGCUAAAUAUUACUUAAGUUGUGAAAGUGUCUUUUGACGCGAGAAUCGACAUUUUUAGAUUAAAAUCACAGGUUACUCAACACUUUACAUACUCAAAUUGCUUUGCAUACUCUUAAUUCGAAUACCGUUUUACGCGAAAGCCGACAUUUGUAGAUGAAGACUUCCGAUUACUAAGUAUAAGAAUCAUUGGAGUAGAACAAAUCUUAUUUUCUUUUUUCUUCUUUUUUUUCAAUUUUUUUCUUCUUCUUUUUUUAACAGCAAAGAUAAUAAUAAUUUUCUUAAAAGAAUAAUCAUGAGAAGAGUAUUGCACUUAUUAACCAUAUUUAUCACUUAACUUAUAAAAUCCAAUAAAGAGAAGAAAUUUCAAUAAAUAUGCACAAAAAAAAAUAGGCAUAAUUUUCUCCAUUUUACAAGAUAUAUUUUCCUAUAAGUACACGAAUUAUAAUCACAUAAUAGUCAUUUCCAAAUUAAAUAAGAAAAGAAGUUUUCAAAUCACAUAUAUUUAUCUCAAAUGCAGAAGGAAUUUGAACUACUAAUGGUAUGAAACUUUCUACCCCUUUAGAUAAAAAAAAAAUUGAAACUUUUUUGGGGCAAAUUCGUAAAUUUGGACAAGAUUUUGAAAACAAAUUUUGAAUUUAAGCACAAGUUCAAUAUUUGCAACCAACAAGUCAAUCACAUACAAUGUAUAUAAUCUCAAUUCUUCCCCCCACACUUAAUAUGCACAUUGUCCUCAAUGUGUAAAAAGAAAAAUUAAGAUAAAGAAAAGUAAUACUCCCCUAUUGUUGCGAUCGAAAUGCCAAAGCAUGAAAUUCACGAACCAUUGUCUACUUAUUUCCAAUGCUUCAUGCGUUCCAUUUGAUAAUCAUUAGUAAUAUUAACCUAAAGAUAGAAAAUGAAAAAUAACCAAAUAACUUAAUACAUAAUUUAAACAUGAAAUCACACAAAAAUAAAAUAGCCAAAACAUUGGGUUACCUCCCAAUAAGCGCUUUUGUUUAUAGUCAUUGGCUCGACUUUUUCACCUCAUUUUUUCUUCAAGGAGGCUUAGUUAACGAAUAAUCUACCAUUUUUGGACGUGGUGGAUCAUUAAAUGGUGACUUUAUAGCAAAAGUCACAUGAUCUAAUGAUGUGAGAAAUAGAAGUGACUGACCUAUCCCAAGUGUUUCAUAGAUAUUACCUUGAGUAUACACCACUUGAGAACUUACCAAAUGAAAUGCCAUGAGAGUAUCUUGAGCAGCAAUACCCUUAGAACCUAUACUUUCAAUGCACUCCUCAAGAGGGGUGAAAAAUGAGUCAUUGAAACUCACCUCUUGAGACUCAAAAUUAGUUCCAAAGAUAUUAUCAUGUGAAAUGGAUAUUUGCUUAUUAAAACACACUUGAGAUUCAUCAUUUUCAUCAAAAUGCAACCCAUUUUCACAUACAACAUUCCCACCAUUCAUGCUAGGAUCAUUUUGCAAAUUAUUAGAGAAAAUAACUUCACACAAUGCAUUCAAUUGCUCAUGUAUUCUACCAAAGUGAGAAGCUAAUUCAUCUAUUCUUUCCUCAAUCCUAUCAAAACGGUCGGAAGUUGCAUUUGCUAGCUUUUCUAAUACUAAAUCAAAUUGAUUAGAAAAAUUUUCUACAACUAGCUUUCAAGAUGCAUUAGAAUCAUUAGUUAACGGUUCACUUUCUAACUCCCAAGGUAGAGGUGCAUUAGCUAACUUCUCUAUUGCCAACUCCCAAGAUGGUUUUGAUUCAUAUUGGACACUUUCAGGUUGGUAAUCAUAAAAAUAUGGAUAAUCACUAUAUGUACAUUGAUUAUCCCAACCAUUAGCAGGAGAAUUGCUCCAAUUAGCACUAUAUCGAUCAAAACAAGGAUUGUAAUGCUCUAAUUUAUCAUAAUAAUCCACAUUUUGUGCUUGCACACAUGUGUUAGUAGCAUGAUAACUUCCACACAAGUCACAAAUCACAUGAUAAGAAUUAAAAGUAUUAACAUUCCUCCCUUGCUCAAUUUCAUGCAUAAUUGUGUCCAUUUGAACUUGUAGCAUCAUAACAUCAAAUUUAGCCUUUAAGCACCUUAAACCAUCUUCAAAAGACAUACAUUCAGUUAAUUCUUGGUUACCUCUGUUGAAAGAGCUUUGCACUUGGUAACCAUCCAUUGCCAAACUUCCAUUUCUCAAGCAUUGUCCUCCAAAUUGACCUACCCUUCUCAUCACCUAAAAUUGCUUCUAAACAACCUCAAAAGCAAAAUUAGUAAGAAAAAUAGGUAAUGAAACACAUACACACAUAAAACACAAAAAUAACAGAAAAUAACAUUCACACUAUAACUAAUGAAAUGUUUAAACUAAUAAUGUUGCUCUUCACACCGAUAUUGCCAAAUCUUCCCCGGCAACGGCGCCAAAAACUUGACGUGCGCGGGGUAUAGAUAUAAUAUUAAACUCAUCCCAAUCAAGUUUUACAUUUAUAAAUUCCUAAAUACCCCACACGCGAUUUAUCGUAAGUAUACGAAUCGUGAGCGAGUAUAGGGUAUUAAGGGUCGAUCCCACAGGGAAGAAUGCAAUUACCGAUGUUUUUCGAACUCCUUUAUUAUCUAGACUAUCAUAAAUAUAAAAGUAAUAAAAAUAACACUAGAAAGCUUCUAGAGAUAUGAAAUUCCUUACUACUCUUGCAAAUGAGAUUACCGGUUAAGUGAAUGCUAUUAUUUUGACUAGUUAUAGCGUAAUUUCCUAAUGUAUGUGAAACCAACUUUCGUAGUGAAUCAACUAUACUUGUAAUUAAGCCAUACCUACUCUCGUGGUUAUGAAAUUGACUACAAGUUCAUUUCUUCUAUGAAAUUACAUGAAACAAGUCACUUAAGCCACAUAGGUGCACCUCUACUUUCGUGAGUGUACUCCCUAGGCUUAUCACUUCUUUGAACUAGUGUUAAAUUCUAAUUUUCAUUGCAAACUUAACACCUUAUGAUUAUCAUAAUUAAUGGCCAGUUAAUCAUGAUUAGAUAACCAAAAGUGAUAAAUAACGUGCUCAAAAUAAUAUCAUCAAAUAGCCAAGUAAACCUCACAAACCAAAUAUAGCAAGUUCAACCAUAACUCUAGGCAUAAACUUUAACUAAACAUAAUAAAAAAACAAAGCCAACUUGUAUUAUAAUUAAACAUGAAAUCCAAUACAAGAGAGAAAGUAGUAGAAGAGAUAUCACCCUUGUCACAUGAGAUCAACCUCUUCAUCUUUGCCCCUCCAAUCUUCAUCCAAAUCUAACUACAAAUACAAGAUGGAUAAACUACUCUACCUAUACUAUACUAAUGAACCAAGGAAACUCUAGUGAAAACUACAUUUCUGGUGAGUUUCUCUAGCCUUCUCCCAAGUUAUUUUGAAUCCUGCAAGUCCAUGGCUAUAUAUAGAUGAAUGCAAUCAGGAAAUGAGGCUUGAAACAUCCCUUUUACAGCUGCUAAUUGGUUGUCAUACGUUCAUCCAUAGCUGUAAAUUGUUGAAGGAGAAAACAGGUUGUACCAGCAGCUAUUUCUGACCAGAAU